GAAACAGACGAUUGAGCUAAAUGGUCCCCGCUUAAUACUUUUCUGAAGCUGCGACAGCUCUUCACACACAAGUAGAGGCCGACAGUACACAUUAUCCCAAACAGAAAGGCCGUGGAUCCGACAACUAUCAGAUGGAAGAUCUUGUUUAUCACAAUUUACCCUCGCACGAAUGCGUGUUGCAAGUCCUGGUUUCCCGCCCCUCUCCAAUGCAGUCCUGUCCAAAUCCGAAUGGCUGAGGACUGUCACAUGACCUG